rnacentral:lncRNA from 1 species
AACAUGGAAUCACAACAAAACUCUACAACUCAAAGUAUUUAUUCGUUAGGCUCCGAGGAGCCAAGUAUUACAAACAUGGGUCUCAUGACCCAACAUACAGAGCAUACAAGCAACAAGUGGAAGCAUAACAUGUCUGAGUACAGACACCUACAAAUGAAAAAGGCCGAGAAGCCUGACUAUCUACAAGACCCUGCCGAGGGCACAAGAUCGUAGCUGAGGUAACCAGCUAAACGUUAAAGUCCACGCGGAACUACUAGCAAGACUGAAGUCUCUCUGCAAAAACAUAAAUUAAGCAAAUGUGAGUACAAAUGUACCCAUCAAGACUUACAUCAGAACAAACUACAUAUGCAUCGGUAUCAACAACGGGGGUGGUGGAGUUUAACUGCAGCAAGCCAGCUUUGACUCGGUGGCUAUCCUAAACUACGACUGCAAGUAACUCUUUUGAGGUGGCGCACACGAGUCCACAUAUUCACCAUAUCAAUACACCACUAUGGAUCCGCUCCUGUCUCCCUACGAGAAUGCCAUCCAUAGCACUCACGCUUAUCUUGCGCAUUUUAGAGUAUCCACUUUCACUUGUCUAUGAACUGUAUAGGCAACCCAGAGGUCCUUUACCGCGGACGCGGCUAUUCGAAUAGAUGAUGUUAACCCUGCAGGGGUGUACUUCUUCACACAUGCUCUCACCACUUAUCGCCGUUUACACGACAUGUACUCGGCAACCUUCAAGCGGAAGCCCAGCGAGGGUGUCGGCCACGACUUGACUAACCACACAAGUCCCUAGUCCAGGUUUAUCGCCUAUUCAGGUUACAUCCGUAGGGAGUCCGGCCGAGGUUUCCACAUACGGCCCCGAACGAUGUGUGCAGGUUCCCGAGACACCAAACGGGCGCUCGGUACACCAUGCACGAGCCUACCGCGUCACAGCCCAGCCCUCGGGUCAGCGCUGCGCACGGCCUCCAGCAUAGUACAAACACUAGAAACUACUUGCAACUCCCGGACAGAGGACAGGGGCGGUUAAUAAGUCGAGAGGGUCCAUUGGUUUCGGGCCCAACGCGUGGUAGUAGAUGUUCAUGGAUCACAAACACAGAACUCAGUUCCUGAGGACGGUUUCAAUGAGACAACCCACCAUGUACUCCUACAUGGCCGCCCACCGCUACCUUUACCAAAUCGUGUUCACAAACUUAGCUCACACACAGUAAGACAUGUUCAUCACCAUUUCAAUUCAUCCCCGAUUAAUUAGACCUGACUCAACUCUAAGCAGUAGCAGGCAUGAAAAACAAGCAUGAAUGAGUAGGCACAUCAGGGCUCAAACAACUCCUACUCAUGCUAGUGGGUUUCAUCUAUUUACUGUGGCAAUGACAGGUCAUGCAGAGGAAAGGGGUUCAACUACCGCAUCAUGUAACAGUUGAAUCGUUGUUGUCCUAAUGCAGUAAAAGAGAGCAGGAGCGAGAGAGUGGGAUUGUAUCGGAAUGAACAAGGGUGUUUUGCUUGCCUGGCACUUCUGAAGAUAGUAUAGCUCUUCAUCGGUGUCAUCGAACUCAUCGUCAGAACACGUCUUCUCGAGAG